rnacentral:lncRNA from 1 species
AUGUUCCAGGUUUCAAUUAAAUAUCCAACAGAACAAAUAUGAAUGGAGCAAAGAUACUACAGACAGCUAGAGCUGAAAGAUGUGCAGAAACAAACUCUGUGCCUGAGAGACCUUCUCCAGGCACCAUCAGCUGAAGAAUCAAUGCCAGUGCAGGAUGUGACUAUCCACUGUAACCACGAGGAAAGUCAUCAGGAGAAAAUAAACGUGGCUUCAAGCUGCAGGUUCACAUCAAAAUCUGCAUUGGAUUCAGGUUUGCUGGCAAUAAAAAGGCAGACCCUUAAUUCAGUUCUGUCUUUAAGACUUAGAAUUUCACAGGUUGUUCUUCCUAAAUAG